rnacentral:misc_RNA from 1 species
AAGUCGUAACAAGGUCUCCGUUGGUGAACCAGCGGAGGGAUCAUUACCGAGUUUACAACUCCCAAACCCCUGUGAACAUACCUAUCGUUGCCUCGGCGGUGCCCGCUCCGGCGGCCCGCCAGAGGACCCCCAAACUCUUGUUUUAUACAGUAUCUUCUGAGUAACACGAUUAAAUAAAUCAAAACUUUCAACAACGGAUCUCUUGGUUCUGGCAUCGAUGAAGAACGCAGCGAAAUGCGAUAAGUAAUGUGAAUUGCAGAAUUCAGUGAAUCAUCGAAUCUUUGAACGCACAUUGCGCCCGCCAGUAUUCUGGCGGGCAUGCCUGUUCGAGCGUCAUUUCAACCCUCAAGCCCCCGGGCUUGGUGUUGGGGAUCGGCGUGCCCUCGCGGCGCGCCGUCCCCUAAAUCUAGUGGCGGUCUCGCUGUAGCUUCCUCUGCGUAGUAGCAACACUCGCACUGGAUCGCAGCGCGGCCACGCCGUUAAACCCCCCACUUCUGAAAGUUUGACCUCGGAUCAGGUAGGAAUACCCGCUGAACUUAA